rnacentral:rRNA from 1 species
UACGUAUGGUGCGAACGUUGUUCGGAAUCACUGGGCGUAAAGCGCACGUAGGCGGCGUCGUAAGUCAGGGGUGAAAUCCCGGAGCUCAACUCCGGAACUGCCCUUGAAACUGCAAUGCUAGAAUCUUGGAGAGGCGAGUGGAAUUCCGAGUGUAGAGGUGAAAUUCGUAGAUAUUCGGAAGAACACCAGUGGCGAAGGCGACUCGCUGGACAAGUAUUGACGCUGAGGUGCGAAAGCGUGGGGAGCAAACAGG